rnacentral:rRNA from 1 species
CGUGUAGGCGGCCAGGUAGGUCCGUUGUGAAAACUCGAGGCUCAACCUCGAGACGCCGAUGGAAACCCCCUGGCUAGAGUCCGGAAGAGGAGAGUGGAAUUCCUGGUGUAGCGGUGAAAUGCGCAGAUAUCAGGAAGAACACCCGUGGCUAAGGCGGCUCUCUAGUACGGUACUGACGCUGAGACGCGAAAGCGUGGGGAGCGAACA